rnacentral:rRNA from 1 species
GAUCAUGGCCUCAGGACGAACGCUGGCGGCGUGCUUAACACAUGCAAGUCGAACGGGGCAUAGAGAUAUGCCUAGUGGCGGACGGGUGAGUAACACGUGAGCAACCUAUCCUAUACAACGGGAUAACACAGAGAAAUUUGUGCUAAUACGGUAUAAGACCACACUCCGGCAUCGGAGAGGGGUAAAAGCUGAGGCGGUAUAGGAGGGGCUCGCGGCCCAUUAGCUAGUUGGAGAGGUAACGGCU